rnacentral:rRNA from 1 species
GAUGAACGCUGGCGGCGUGCCUAAUACAUGCAAGUCGAGCGAACAGAUGAGAAGCUUGCUUCUCUGAUGUUAGCGGCGGACGGGUGAGUAACACGCGGGUAACCUACCUAUAAGACUGGGAUAACUACGGGAAACCGGGGCUAAUACUGGAUAAUAUUUUGAACCGCAUGGUUCAAUAGUGAAAGACGGUUUCGGCUGUCACUUAUAGAUGGACCCGCGCCGUAUUAGCUAGUUGGUAAGGUAACGGCUUACCAAGGCGACGAUACGUAGCCGACCUGAGAGGGUGAUCGGCCACACUGGAACUGAGACACGGUCCAGACUCCUACGGGAGGCAGCAGUAGGGAAUCUUCCGCAAUGGGCGAAAGCCUGACGGAGCAACGCCGCGUGAGUGAUGAAGGUCUUCGGAUCGUAAAACUCUGUUGUUAGGGAAGAACAAAUUUGUUAGUAACUGAACAAGUCUUGACGGUACCUAACCAGAAAGCCACGGCUAACUACGUGCCAGCCGCCGCAGUAA